rnacentral:rRNA from 1 species
CCUACGGGAGGCAGCAGUAGGGAAUUUUCGGCAAUGGGGGGAACCCUGACCGAGCCACGCCGCGUGAACGAAGAAGUUACUCGUAAUGUUAAGCUCUUUUUACAGGGAAGAAAGAGAAAUUUGACGGUGCCUGAAGAAUAAGCCCCGGCAAACUACGGGCCAGCAGCCCCGGUAAUACGUAGGGAGCGAACGUUAUCCGGAAUGAUUGGCCGUAAGGGGUGCGUAGAUGGCAUAGUAAGUCUGUGGUAAAAAUGCUGGGCUAAACCCAGUAGUGCAACAGAUACUGCAAAGCUAGAGUAUGAGAGAGGCAGGUGGAACUACUGGUGUAGCGGUAAAAUGCGUAAAUAU